ACGAGAUGAGAAAGAAGUAUCCUGAGCUCUUCGACUAGGUGAGUUGAGUUUCGGGACGUAACUCCUUUAAGGGGGGUAGAGUGCGUGCGCGCAUUUUGCUAGAAAUUAGUAAGAAUUUGUUGCAUUUGUGCACUAUUUUUAGAGUUUUCAAGUAAAAACUUUUCAAGCAAAGUAAGCAUUUCAUAGUCUGAACAUUCAAGGCAAAAGUUUUAUUCAGUAGCGUAUUAUUUGGCUACUUGUUUUACUUAGUAGCGUAUUAUUUGGCUACUUGUUUUACUUAGUAGCGUAUUAUUUGGCUACUUCUUAAGAAAGAACUAUUUUAUGGCGUAAUGCUCGUAAAUUUUCAAAUUUGAAAGUUGGAUUAGAGAGGAGGGUUUUGUUAAGUUUCGGGACGAAACUUCUUUUAAGGGGGGUAGACUGUAAUCCCCCAUAUUUUUAAGAUAUUUAAUUAAAUAGUUUUAAUCAUUUUUAAUUAUUAAAGCUAUUUAAUUUCGGUAUUUAAGAGCAGAAGGGUAUUUUGGUCAUUUUACCAAAAUAGUAUUUGAGUAUUUCCACAAAGAAGUAUUUUAGUAUUUUCAAGGAAGUAUUUUAUUAAUAUUAGUAGGAAGAUUAUUUUGGAAAUUUAUCAUCAAAUGUAUUUUGGCAAUUUGAUGAGUAAGGGCAUUUUGGUCUUUUACCCAAAUUGACUACCACUAUAAAAAGAGAAAACCUAAAGUUUCCCAUCUUUUUCCAUCUUCUUCACUAGCCACCAUUUUGUCAAAAAGGAGUAAGUGGGUUUUUCCUCUCAAACCUUUGUUCUUCCUCAAGUAAGUUUUUCAAGUAAUUCUCUUCAAUAAUUCUAGCUUCUAAUCUAGUUUUGUUUUUGAAAUUUAUAGGAAGAUCUUGCAAUUAUCAAAGGGAAGCAAAGAGGUUUCAAGAAUAAUUAAAGCCAGUCAACUGUUGACAGUUGAUUUUUGUGUAAUCAAGAGUUUAGAGAAGAAGUUGCAGGUACAAGUUCUUGAUGUGCAUGGAAAUCAUAAGCAUCCGGAUGGGAGUUUUAGUACACGAGUACUUUCUUAUUUAAGUUAUCUUGAAUUUUAUAUUUGACUUUACUUGACCAAUGGGGUCAAGGUUUAACUUUUGAAUAUGGGACUAGUAUGGGAUAGUCUCGGAGUUUGUAAUUCAUUUACAUACUUUCUUAUUUCUA